rnacentral:tRNA from 1 species
CGGGGCGUAGCUCAGUGGCUAGAGCCGUACCUUUGGGGGGUGCGCGUCGUGGGUUCGAAUCCCACCGCCCCGACCA